rnacentral:rRNA from 1 species
UACGUAGGGCGCGAGCGUUGUCCGGAAUUAUUGGGCGUAAAGAGCUCGUAGGCGGCCUGUUGCGUCCGCUGUGAAAUCCCCGGGCUUAACCUGGGAACUGCAUUUGUGACUGCAUGGCUGGAGUGCGGCAGAGGGGGAUGGAAUUCCGGCGUGUAGCAGUGAAAUGCGUAGAUAUCAGGAGGAACACCUGUGGCGAAAGCGGCUCACUGGACCACAACUGACGCUGAUGCACGAAAGCUAGGGGAGCAAACAGG